rnacentral:rRNA from 1 species
GAUGAACGCUGGCGGCGUGCCUAAUACAUGCAAGUCGAGCGAACAGACGAGGAGCUUGCUCCUCUGACGUUAGCGGCGGACGGGUGAGUAACACGUGGAUAACCUACCUAUAAGACUGGGAUAACUUCGGGAAACCGGAGCUAAUACCGGAUAAUAUAUUGAACCGCAUGGUUCAAUAGUGAAAGACGGUUUUGCUGUCACUUAUAGAUGGAUCCGUGCCGCAUUAGCUAGUUGGUAAGGUAACGGCUUACCAAGGCAACGAUGCGUAGCCGACCUGAGAGGGUGAUCGGCCACACUGGAACUGAGACACGGUCCAGACUCCUACGGGAGGCAGCAGUAGGGAAUCUUCCGCAAUGGGCGAAAGCCUGACGGAGCAACGCCGCGUGAGUGAUGAAGGUCUUCGGAUCGUAAAACUCUGUUAUUAGGGAAAAACAAAUGUGUAAGUAACUAUGCACGUCUUGACGGUACCUAAUCAGAAAGCCACGGCUAACUACGUG